rnacentral:misc_RNA from 1 species
GAUGAAGAACGUAGCGAAAUGCGAUAAGUAGUGUGAAUUGCAGAAUUCAGUGAAUCAUCGAAUCUUUGAACGCACAUUGCGCCCUUUGGUAUUCCUCAGGGCAUGCCUGUUCGAGCGUCAUUUAAACCUUCAAGCUAAGCUUGGUGUUGGGUGACUGUCCGCUUCACGGCGGACUCGCCUCAAAAUUAUUGGCGGCCGGUACAUUGGCUUCGAGCGCAGCAGAAACGCGAACUCGGGCCCGUCGUAUUGGCUCCCAGAAGCUAUCUUCACAAUUUUGACCUCGGAUCAGGUAGGGAUACCCGCUGAACUUAAGCAUAUCAAUAAGCGGAGGA